rnacentral:rRNA from 1 species
UGGGGAAUAUUGGACAAUGGGGGCAACCCUGAUCCAGCCAUGCCGCGUGAGUGAUGAAGGCCUUCGGGUCGUAAAGCUCUGUGGGGAGCCACGAAACCCCGCCGGCGAAUAACCGGCGGGCUGACGGUAGCUCCUUAGCAAGCACCGGCUAACUCCGUGCCAGCAGCCGCGGUAAUACGGAGGGUGCAAACGUUGCUCGGAAUCAUUGGGCGUAAAGCGCACGUAGGCGGUCCUGUAAGUCGGGUGUGAAAUCCCUCGGCUUAACCAAGGAAGUGCAUUCGAAACUACAGGACUUGAGUACUGGAGAGGGUCGCGGAAUUCUCGGUGUAGAGGUGAAAUUCGUAGAUAUCGGGAGGAACACCAGUGGCGAAGGCGGCGACCUGGGCAGAUACUGACGCUGAGGUGCGAAAGCGUGGGGAGCAAACAG